rnacentral:rRNA from 1 species
CCUACGGGAGGCAGCAGUGAGGAAUAUUGGUCAAUGGGAGAGAGCCUGAACCAGCCAAGCCGCGUGAGGGAAGACGGCCCUAUGGGUUGUAAACCUCUUUUGUCGGAGAACAAAACCCGGGACGUGUCCCGGACUGCGUGUAUCCGAAGAAAAAGCAUCGGCUAACUCCGUGCCAGCAGCCGCGGUAAUACGGAGGAUGCGAGCGUUAACCGGAUUUAUUGGGUUUAAAGGGUGCGUAGGCGGUCCGUUAAGUCAGCGGUAAAAUUGCGGGGCUCAACCCCGUCGAGCCGUUGAAACUGGCAGACUUGAGUUGGCGAGAAGUACGCGGAAUGCGCGGUGUAGCGGUGAAAUGCAUAGAUAUCGCGCAGAACUCCGAUUGCGAAGGCAGCGUACCGGCGCCAGACUGACGCUGAGGCACGAAAGCGUGGGGAUCGAACAGGAUUAGAUACCCCGGUAGUC